rnacentral:rRNA from 16 species
GACACGACUCUCGGCAACGGAUAUCUCGGCUCUCGCAUCGAUGAAGAACGUAGCGAAAUGCGAUACCUGGUGUGAAUUGCAGAAUCCCGCGAACCAUCGAGUCUUUGAACGCAAGUUGCGCCCGAGGCCACCCGGUCGAGGGCACGCCUGCCUGGGCGUCACGC